rnacentral:rRNA from 1 species
UACAGAGGUGGCAAGCGUUGUUCGGAAUUACUGGGCGUAAAGGGCGCGUAGGCGGGCUGCCAAGUUUGGGGUGAAAUCCUCCGGCUCAACCGGGGAAGUGCCUUGAAUACUGGCGGUCUGGAGGGGGGUAGGGGCGUGCGGAACUAACGGUGGAGCGGUGAAAUGCGUUGAUAUCGUUAGGAACUCCGGUGGCGAAGGCGGCACGCUGGGCCCUCACUGACGCUGAGGCGCGAAAGCCAGGGGAGCGAACGGG